GCCGGGAGCGGCAAAGUCGGAGAGUGCGGACUCAAAAUCCCGUGUCCGCAAGGGCGUGAGGGUUCGACUCCCUCCUCCGGCACCA
rnacentral:tRNA from 1 species